AUUUUUGUAGCUUAUAACAAGAGCUAUUCAGUGAAGUUGAAGGGGAGAUUUUUAUCCAAAAAUA
rnacentral:tRNA from 1 species